AGCAGCCGCGGUAAUUCCAGCUCCAAUAGCGUAUAUUAAAGUUGUUGCAGUUAAAAAGCUCGUAGUUGAAUUUCGGGAUCAAUGGGUUGGUCAUGCCCUCGGUAUGUACUGAUUUCAUUGGUUCUCACCUUCUAAGGAACCAUGAUGUCAUUUAUUUGAUGUUGUGGGAAAUUAGGACUGUUACCUUGAAAAAAUUAGAGUGUUUAAAGCAGGCUAACGCUUGAAUACAUUAGCAUGGAAUAAUGAAAUAGGACAUCCGAUUCUAUUUUGUUGGUUUCUAGGAUCGAUGUAAUGAUUAAUAGGGAUAGUUGGGGGCAUUAGUAUUCAAUUGUCAGAGGUGAAAUUCUUGGAUUUAUUGAAGACUAACUACUGCGAAAGCAUUUGCCAAGGAUGUUUUCAUUAAUCAAGAACGAAAGUUAGGGGAUCGAAGACGAUCAGAUACCGUCGUAGUCUUAACCAUAAACUAUGCCGACUAGGGAUCGGAUGAUGCUUAUUUUUUAAUGUACUCAUUC
rnacentral:sRNA from 1 species